GCCAGUGUGGUUUAGUGGUUUGAGCGUUGGACUAUGAAUCUGAAGACCUGGGUACUAAUCCCGUCUCAGCCA